AAAAAAUGAACGAACACAAAUAUGUAUAACAAAGCAACAAACGGCAACCACUGAAAUACAGUCUCCUGACUUUGGACAAGCACAUACAUACAGAAUGUGGCGGGGUUAAACAUGUUAGCGGGAUCCCAAAUCCGCCCCCUAAUCUGGGACAGCGGUGUAACAGUACAACAACAUGUUUGUGAGCACUCAAUCCAUCCCGAAUCUGGGACAGUGGUGUAACAGUACAGUAAAAUAGCAACCUGCACAAUCAGUUGCAAUUAGAUUAACUCAAAAGAUCGAAACGAGACACACACAAACAAA
rnacentral:lncRNA from 1 species